GACGAACGCUGGCGGCGUGCCUAAUACAUGCAAGUCGUGCGGACCUUGUUGAAAGCUUGCUUUUAAAAGGUUAGCGGCGGACGGGUGAGUAACACGUGGGCAACCUGCCUGUAAGACUGGGAUAACGCCGGGAAACCGGGGCUAAUACCAGAUCGUUUUUUCCUCCGCAUGGAGGAAAAAGGAAAGGCGGCUUCGGCUGCCACUUACAGAUGGGCCCGCGGCGCAUUAGCUAGUUGGCGGGGUAAUGGCCCACCAAGGCAACGAUGCGUAGCCGACCUGAGAGGGUGAUCGGCCACAUUGGGACUGAGACACGGCCCAAACUCCUACGGGAGGCAGCAGUAGGGAAUCUUCCGCAAUGGACGAAAGUCUGACGGAGCAACGCCGCGUGAGUGAAGAAGGCCUUCGGGUCGUAAAACUCUGUUGCCGGGGAAGAACAAGUGCCGUUCGAACAGGGCGGCGCCUUGACGGUACCCGGCUAGAAAGCCACGGCUAACUACGUG
rnacentral:rRNA from 1 species